GUCCCAGUAGCUUAUAACAAAGCAUGGCACUGAAGAUGCAAGAUGGCUACCGACUAUAGCCCGCGGACA
rnacentral:tRNA from 1 species